rnacentral:rRNA from 1 species
UACGGGGGGGGCAAGCGUUGUUCGGAAUUACUGGGCGUAAAGGGUUUGUAGGUGGCCAACUAAGUCAGACGUGAAAUCCCUCAGCUUAACUGGGGAACUGCGUCUGAGACUGGAUGGCUUGAGUGCAGGAGAGGAACGCGGAAUUCCAGGUGUAGCGGUGAAAUGCGUAGAUAUCUGGAGGAACACCGGUGGCGAAGGCGGCAUCCUGGACCGGCAUUGACGCUGAGGCGCGAAAGCUAGGGGAGCAAACAGG